rnacentral:rRNA from 1 species
UACGUAGGGUGCAAGCGUUGUCCGGAAUUAUUGGGCGUAAAGAGCUCGUAGGCGGUCUGUCGCGUCUGCUGUGAAAACCUGGGGCUUAACCCCGGGCCUGCAGUGGGUACGGGCAGACUAGAGUGUGGUAGGGGAGACUGGAAUUCCUGGUGUAGCGGUGAAAUGCGCAGAUAUCAGGAGGAACACCAAUGGCGAAGGCAGUCCGCUGGGCCGUUGCUGACGCUGAGGCGCGACAGCGUGGGGAGCAAACAGG